rnacentral:rRNA from 1 species
AACGAACGCUGGCGGCAUGCCUAACACAUGCAAGUCGAACGAGACCUUCGGGUCUAGUGGCGCACGGGUGCGUAACGCGUGGGAACCUGCCCUUAGGUUCGGAAUAACUCCCCGAAUGGGGUGCUAAUACCGGAUAAUGUCCUCGGACCAAAGAUUUAUCGCCUUUGGAUGGGCCCGCGUUGGAUUAGCUAGUUGGUAGGGUAAAAGCCUACCAAGGCGACGAUCCAUAGCUGGUUUGAGAGGAUGAUCAGCCACACUGGGACUGAGACACGGCCCAGACUCCUACGGGAGGCAGCAGUGGGGAAUAUUGGACAAUGGGCGAAAGCCUGAUCCAGCAAUGCCGCGUGAGUGAUGAAGGCCUUAGGGUUGUAAAGCUCUUUUACCCGGGAUGAUAAUGACAGUACCGGGAGAAUAAGCUCCGGCUAACUCCGUG